AUUGAACGCUGGCGGCAGGCUUAACACAUGCAAGUCGAGCGAUCGGCGGACGGGUGAGUAAUGUCUGGUAAACUGCCUGAUGGAGGGGGAUAACUACUGGAAACGGUAGCUAAUACCGCAUACCAUCAGAUGUUCCCCGAUGGGAUUAGCUAGUAGGUGGGGUAAUGGCUCACCUAGGCGACGAUCCCUAGCUGGUCGGAGAGGAUGACAAGCAACACUGGAACUGAGACAAGGUCCAGACUCCUACGGGAGGCAGCAGUGGGGAAUAUUGCACAAUGGGCGCAAGCCUGAUGCAGCCAUGCCGAGUGUGUGAAGAAGGCCUUCGGGUUGUAAAGCACUUGCAGCGAGGAGGCGUUACUCGCAGAAGAAGCACCGGCUAACUCCGUGCCAGAAGCCGAGGUAAUAC
rnacentral:rRNA from 1 species